UCCUACGGGAUCUGGGGAUCCAGAAUCCGGCCUGACGUUCCGUUCCAAGAAUCUAAAGUCCAGGGAGAAAUCCGAGCUCGGAUUUGCAAGGUCCUGAGGUUCUGAAAUCGGGAAUUGGGUCCCAGAAUCUGGGUCAUCCGAACUUCGGAGACUGGCCGCUUCCGGAACAGCCUGGUGCCCCCAAGCACGCCGAAGACUGUAGACUGCUCGCAGCAAGCGAGAAUAAAAUGCCAGGCCAGAGCUAGGGAAAAGGUUCGACCCGCAGACCCUGCCCUGCAGGAAUCUGUUGAAUGAAUGGCUCUCUAGAGACAUCAGGGUACUAGAGCACCAUGAAUAAUGGGUGUCCUCCAGGGCCCAGUGAGUGCCGGCAGGGAGGGACUGGGAUGGGGGAAAUCUUCACCCAAGGCCGCUUGCCCCAAAGUCUUCAGACCUGGAGUGGGACUUGGCAUCUGAGCCUUUACUGUUGCUUAGGAGGCUGCUUUCUUCAGGACCCAACCUGCUGUGGAGCCCCGCUGACCUUUAACUUCUAUCCAGAAGGUGACCAUAGGCCCUGAGAAGCACUUCCCACUCUAAACAUAUUUUAUUUUAUUUUGAGAUGGAAUCUUGCUCUGUUGCCCAGGCUGGAGUGCAGUGGUGCCAUCUCAGCUUCCUGCAACCUCUGCCUCCCGAGUUCAAGCGAUUCUCCUGCCUCAGCCUCCCAAGUAGCUGGGAUUACAUGCACCACCAUGCCCGGCUAAUGUUUUUUGUAUUUUUAGUAGAGAUGGGGUUUCACCCAGUUUGUCAGGCUGGUCUUGAACUUCUGACCUCAUGAUAUGCCUACCUCGGCCUCUGAAAGUGCUGGGAUUACAGGUGUGAGCCACCUCCCCUGGCUUUCUAAACAUUUCUUUACCCACCCCUUGAAGGAGACAACCCCUGCCCUUUGGGCUACAACAGCUUCUCAGCUUCAAAUCCCCAAGAAUCCCCAACUUUCUUGUGUGAAUUAAUGACCUGGUAUUUAAGCCUCAGUGGACCCUGAAAUCAAGAACUGGGGCUAUAAGUCACUGUUUCUCUGAAAGAAGAUUUCCUUGGUUCCUCUUCCGAAGCAGAGAAUGCUAACAUUCAACAGAGCCUCAGGCAGCACCCACAACCUCCUCCUUGCCUCCUUGCCCCACCCCCCCGCUUUUUUUUUUGAGACUGUCUUGCUCUGACGCCCAGGCUGGAGUGCAAUGGCACGAUCUCAGCUUGCUGCAAUCUCCGCCUCCUGGAUUUGAGUGAUUCUUUUGCCUCUGCCUCUCAAGUAAUUAGGAUUCUAGGCACUCGACACCACUUCUGGCUAUUUUUUUUUGUUUUGUUUUUUUGUAUUUUUAGUAGAGACAGGUUUUCACCAUGUUGGGCAGGCCGGUUUUGAACUCCUGACCCCAAAUGAUCUGCCUGCCUCAGCCUCCCAAAGUGCUAGGAUCAGGCGUGAGCCACUGUGCCCGGCCUCCCUGCCCAUUUUAUAGAGGAGGAAACUGAGGCUUAAUGGGGGAUAGGACUUGCCCAAGGUCAUAUAGGUACUAUCUGCCUUCAGAACCCAAAUUCUUCACUGUUGCACCAUCCUGUCUUAUGAUUGCCAUUUCUCAGAUGCAGGAAACUAAGGCCCGCAGAGGAGAAGGGAUUGCUCUGGGUGCUUCAUGGGGGCAGUAGCAGCACUAGGAAAGGACCCAGCCUCCUUCCUCUGCUCUCCGUAGGCUCACUCACCUGCAGUGCCCCCUGAAAACUUGCCCAGUACCAGCUGGUAGUGGUCUACCUCCCCGAGGAGGCGGAAUGUCGCAUACUGGGCGAAAGUACGGUUGCUAUUAAAGUCUUCCAGCUCUACCCGAAGCUCCCAGGUACCUGGAAGUGAGGGGAGGCAGGGAUGGAGCAAUCCUCAGAUCCAGGGGUUGAGGCAGGGAUUCAGGAGGGCAGACAGUAACCCCCAGACUUCCAGACUGCUGGGAACUCACCCUGGAGAGUAAGCAGGUGCAAAUUCUCAUUUCCCAGCCAAAAUUCAGACUCCUGCUUCCCAAAACCUGCUUUGUAGGAGGACCAAGAGCGGAAGAAAUCCACAGAACCAUCCUGGCGCCUCUGAAACACCUAGGGAGGAGUGGGGGCACAGCAGCUAUUACUCCAGGCUGGGCACGGGUAGCUGAGGGUGCAGGAACUGUGAGGGGUAGGUGGACACCCUCUCUGUCUUUGAAUUGGGGCCAAAGAGGGAUUGGAUUUCGACUCACUGCAACCUCUGCCUCCCAGGUUCAGGCGAAUCUUCUCAGUUUCCCAAGUAGCUGGGAUUACAGGCGUGAGCUACUGCACCCAACUCAAGGUCCUUUCAAAUGGCACCUCCUCUCUGAAGCCCUCAUACUUCUUCAGGACCCAUUGGAAGCUCACUAAACAUUUGUCAGUGAAUUACUCUAGGAAAUGCCUGCUCUGAUGGGCUUGGGCUUCCUGGGGGCCAACGGGGAGAAGUGACCACUGGGCCAUUCUCAGACACUCACCAGCCAGCCUCCCCCCUCAGUGUCCAUGUCACAAAAGACUCGGAGGGCCCUGCCCCCAGGUAGGCACAGAUGGUACCAGCCACUCAAGGUGGCACCCUGGCUCAACAGCUCCCGGCAGUUUCUGGGGCCUGGCAAAGGGGAGAUGGGCUGAGGAGGGGGCAACCAGGUUAUUCCCUGACCCCCACCACCAGGCACUGGAACAAGUGCGGGACUCUAUGGGCCCUCUUGGCUACUUCAGAUCCCUCAAGAGCGGUUCUAAGGAUGCUGUGGGGAGGGGCUUGGCCACACUUGGGGGUCUGCCAACACCCAACAUGACGUGAUCCCAAGUUCCUGGCUCCUUCAAGGGCUGCCUCACCUUCCUGGCACCGGAGCAGGUUUGCUGGAUCUCCUGCCCCAGAGAAGAACCAAGUGUUGGCUGAGAUGUCUGAGCAUCCCCAUGGGAGUGCCCAUGAACCACCAAUGGAAAGGGUACCCAGGUCCUUCAAAUCCUCCCCACUCCUCCCAGCCUUCCGUCCCCCAUGGGAGGGCCAUCAUAGGGUACCCAGGCCCUUCUCCCAAUUCUUCCCACUCCUCCUAGCCUUCCCUUCCCCUGUAAGAAGGCCAUGAUAGGUGCAGCAGCCAAGCAGAGACCCCACUCUAGAGUCCAGGGACAGAAGCAAAGAAAGGGGAGAGGCCUCCAGCCCCACAUACUCACCUGGCUCACCCUUGGGGCCCAUCUUGCCAGGUGGUCCAGGUUGUCCUGAAAUCUCAGAGGCACAGAUGCCCUGAGUCCCACCCCAUGCCCAGGACCAAAAAGAAACAGGAGACUUGGAGCCAGAGGUCAAAUGUCAGUGUCACCCUUCACUCUAUGACUGUGGGCAAAUAUUUUAUCCUCUCUGAACCUUCCUGUCCUCCUCAGCAGAAUGAGGAUGAAACCACCUACCUGGCAGAGUUGAUCUUAGGAUGCAGGGUGCCCAGCCUGGAGCUGGCACAGGGUAGGUUUCUUGCCCCUUUGUGGUGGCCCCUCGGCACAGACAGAAGUUGCUGCAUUCUUGCCUUCCCUGUUCCCAGCCCACUCCCCACCUCUCUCACCUUGAGGACCUGGGGCCCCCUUCUCCCCAGGACUUCCUGGAGCUCCAGGACAACUGGGCAGAAGGACAACUUUGCUGGCUUCCAGUUCCCUGGGUCCUACAGGGAGACACAGGCAGAGUGGGCACAGGGUGGACUGUCUCUUCCAGACCCCUUUGCAGUUCUCUUCCAGUUUCUCAGAUUCCCACUGUCAGGAUGCUUGUCUCCUGAGCUAGCAAGGUUUCGCGUGCCUUACAUUCAUUUGCAUAUAUUUACAUGCAGAGCCCAGAUUAUGAAACUCCCACCCUGUUCCUUGAGGCUGAUGAGCCCUGGUCAGGGGACACCCAGGGAGGGAAUGAGCAGUGGCUUGGUGAGGAGGGCACCCUAAGUGCCUACCUGGACAGCUGGGGUGGUCCUGGGUCUUUAGGCAGGCAGGCCCCCCAAGCAGGAGGAGCCACAGAGAGAGCAGGAUCCGUAGUAGGCCCAUCUUGCUGGGGCCACUGGGAGAAGGAUGCCAGAUUAUAAGGGGGCCAGGCUGGUAGAAGGACAUGCAGCAAGACUUCCUCCCAUUGUCCCCCAGAGACACCCCACCCAGACUGGAGCCAGCAGUGGGUGGCGGUAUUUCCUCCCACAGCCCCGGAGAGAAAGGGCAUUAUCCCUGCCCUAUCCAACUAGGAUGGAGUCCAAUUUUUUUUUUUUUUUUUUUUUGAGACGGAGUUUCACUCUUGUUACCGAGGCUGGAGUGCAAUGGCGCGAUCUCAGCUCACCACAACCUCCACCUCCUGGGUUCAAGCAAUUCUCCUGCCUCAGCCUCCUGAGUAGCUGAAACUACAGGCGUGCGCCACCAUGCCCAGCUAAUUUUUGUAUUUUUUUAGUAGAGACGGGGUUUCACCUUGUUGACCAGGAUGGUCUCGAUCUCUUGACCUUGUGAUCCACCCACCUCGGCCUCCCAAAGUGCUGGGAUUAUAGGCUUGAGCCACCAAAUUUUUUUUUUGAGACUGAGUUUUACUCUUGUUGCCUAGGCUGGAGUACAAUGGCGUGAUCUCAGCUCACUACAACCUCUGCCUCCCAGGUUCAAGUUAUUCUCCUGCCUCAGCCUCCUGAGUAGCAGGGAUUACAGGUGCCCGCCACCAUGCCCUGCUAGAGUCCAAAAAAUGCCCGGCUCAUUUUUUGUAUUUUUUUUAAGUACAGAUGGGGUUUCACCAUGUUGGCUAGGCUGGUCUUGAACUCCUGACCUUAGGUGAUUCACCCCCCCACCCCACCAGCCUCCCAAAGUGCUGGGAUUACAGGCAUGAGCCACCACAACCUGCUAGAGUCCAACUUCUUUUUUUGUUUUUUUUUUUUGAGAUGGAGUUUCGCUGUUGUUACCCUGACUGGAGUGCAAUGGCACAAUCUCGGCUCACCGCAACCUCCGCCUCCUGGGUUCAAGCAAUUAUCCUGCCUCAGCCUCCUGAGUAGCUGGGACUACAGGCAUGCACCACCAUGCCCAGCUAAUUUUUGUAUUUUUAGCAGAGACAGGGUUUCACCUUGUUGACCAGGAUGGUCUCAAUUUCUUGACAUCGUGAUCCACCCGCCUCGGCCUCCCAAAGUGCUGGGAUGAUAAGCGUGAGCCACCGCACCCAGCCUGAGUCCAGCUUCUUAUCCUGGCUUCCAGGGCUCCCCAGCCACCUCUCCAGACCUCUAGGUUCACAGUCACCUCUACCUGUGAAGCCUCAUCUGUCCAUGAAGGUCCAGCUCUACAGCCGUCUCUGCUGGGAAUCCUUCCCUGAUCCUUGUCAAUGCUAUGAAUAGUGGCCGCUGCUACCGUUUAUCGGGAGCUACUGCAUUGCAGCGUCCUACUGAUGCCACCUCCAGUCCUUAUGCAGACUCGCUCUUAGCCCUUAUUAUUGCGUUAUGGGCCUGGUACAAAAUGGGUGCUCAAUAAAAAGGAGUUAAAUGAAUAAGGAAAGAGAAACUGAGGGCCAGGAUGGGACAUGAGUUCUGUUCUCUCUGGCACUUAUAUGUUGAGAGCCACAGAGCUUUUACCCAAGCCCCAUGCCCCGACCAGGGAAAAGCACCAUUGAGAAAGUGACUCCAGGCCAGAUGCAGUGGCUCACGCCUGUAAUCCCAGCACUUUGGGAGGCCUAGGCAGGUGGAUCACGAGGUCAGGAGACCGAGACCAUCCUGGUCAACAUGGUGAAACCCUGUCUCGACUAAAAAUACAAAAAUUAGCUGGGCUUGGUGGCAGGGGCCUGUAAUCCCAGCUACUCAGGAGGCUGAGGCAGGAGAAUUGCUUGAACCAGGCAGUCAGAGGUUUCAGUGAGCCAAGAUUGUGGCAGUGCGCUACUCCAGCCUGAGUGACAGAGCAAGACUCCGACUCAAAAAAAAAAAAAAAAGAACGUGACUCCAGGGGCGCGGUGGCUCAAGCUUGUAAUCCCAGCACUUUGGGAGGCCAAGGUGGGUGGGUCACCUGAGGUUGGGAGUUCAAAACUGGCCAAGAUGGAGAAACUCUGUCUCUACUAAAAAUACAAAAUUAGCCAGGUGUGGUGAGGCAUGCCUGUAAUCCCAGUUACUCGGGAGGUUGAGGCAGGAGAAUUGCUUGAACCCAGGAGGCAGAGGUUGUGGUAUGCCAAGAUCGGGCCAUUGCACUCCAGCCUGGGCCACAAGAGUGAAACUGUGUCUCAAAAAAAAAAAAAAGGAAGAAAGAAAGUGACUCCAUGCUCAAUCUUGAGUUCCAUAAGGCCUAGGAAACAGCUGCUAAUGUAGGCAAUUGAGUGGGAAGCCCAGGCAGGGAGCCUGGGAGGCCAGUGAGGAUGUAGCAGCCAGGGUCCAGAUGUGAAGGAUGAGGCCUGAGCUGGAGAGGGACCUCAGGUGAUAAGGGAGGAGAGGAAGGGCUCAUUCGUUCAUUCACUCAUUCAGCAAACGCUCCCUGAAGGCCCCCUCUGCACCUCCCUGGUAUUUCUGGGGAGGGCUGAGGUGCAAGAGGUGUCAGGAAAAGUGGAGGCUGUGUUUGCCCAAUAGGAUGUGUCCACGAGAUGGAUGCCCUGAGACUCUGCAAUUCCAGUUCUAGGAAUCUGUCUUCCUCAGACUGUCCCACAAGUGUGCUAAGAUCUGCAGACAAGCCUGUUUACCACAGUGCUAUUUGUAAGCAUCAAUGCGGAAAUGUCCCAGCCAGCCAUUGAUGGAAUUCACAUGAGUUAGAAACGUUCAGACAAGUCAUAGGGUGAGUCUGAUCUAAAAUGAGAGGGGCAAAGUACAGAACAGUAUGCACAGCGUUAUUCCACUUUGUAUUUUUAAAAUGCUAGAGGUGUGUGUAUAGAUGUUGUAAAUUCACAGAAAAAGGUCUGAAGAGACCUUGUGAAUUGUGGCUAUUUCUGGAGAGUAGGACCAGGGAGAGGGGUAGUUCUCACUUUUAUUUAUUUAUUUAUUUAUUUAUUUAUUUAUUUAUUUAUUUUGAGACAUGACCUCACUCUGUUGCCCAGGCUGGAGUGCAGUGGUACGAUCACAGCUCACUGCAGCCCCCGCCUCCUGGGCUCAGGCUGUCCUCCCACCUCAGUCUCCCAGGUAGCUGGAACCACACACAGGCAGAGCCACCACAUCGGCCUAAAUUUUUAUUUAUUUAUUUAUUAUUUAUUUUGAGACACAGUCUUGCUGUGUUGCCUAGGCUGGAGUGCGGUGACUUGAUCUCAGUUCACUGCAACCUCCACCUCCUGGAUUCAAGUGAUUCUCCUGCCUCAGUUUCCCAAGUAGCUGGGAUUACAGGUGUGCACCACCAUGCCCAGCUAAAUUUUGUAUUUUUAGUAGAGAUGGGGUUUCACUAUGUUGGUCUAGCUGAUCUCGAACUCCUGACCUCAAGUGAUCCACCUUCCUCAGCCUCCCAAAGUGCUGGUAUUACAGGUGUGAGCCACUGCACCUGGCCUAAAUUUUUAUUUUUUGUUGAGAUGGGUUCUCACCAUAUUGCCCAGGCUGGUCUCAAACUCUUGGCUUCAAGCAAUCAUCCUUCCUUGGUCUCCCAAAGUGCUGGAAUUACAAGUGUGAGCCACUGUACCUCCUGGCCAGUUCUUUUUUUUUUUUUUUUUUGAGAUAGAGUCUCAUUCUAUCGCCCAGGCUGGAGUGCAAUGCGCAUUCUCCGCUCACUGCAACCUCUGCCUCCCAGGUUCAAGCGAUUCUCCUGCCUCAGCCUCCGAGUAGCUGGGACUAAAGGCACCAUGCCCAGCUAAUUUUUGUAUUUUUAUUAGAGACGAGGUUUCACCAUAUUGGCCAGGCUGGUCUUGAGCUCCUGAGCUUGUGAUCUGCCCACCUCGGCCUCCCAAAGUGCUGGGAUUACAGGCGUGAGCCAUCAUGCCCAGCCAGUUUUUGUGUUUUUUUUUUUUAAUAUAUAGAGGGUCUCACCCUGUCACCCAGGCUGGAGUGCAGUGACAUGAUUCUGGUUCACUGCAGCCUGGACCUCCUGGGCUCAAGUGAUUCUCCCACCUCAGCCUCCUGAGUACCUGGGACUACAGGCAUACACCAUCACUCCCGGCUAAGUUUUGUAUUUUUAGUAGAGACGGGGUUUCGCCAUGCUGCCCAGGCUGGUCUCCAACUCCCAAGCUCAAGCAAUCCUCCUGCCUUGGCCUCCCAAAGUGCUAGAAUUACAAGCAUAAGCAACCACACCCAGCCCGAUUCUCAUUCUUCAUAUAAACUUCUGUAUAGUCCUUUUUCCAAUCCUCACAGGCAUUUAGUACUUUUGCAAGAAAAAGAAAGCAUCCAAUAAAGGAGGAUGAUGAAGAAAACUUGUGCUGGGGGAGAAACAAGGGCAGGGGGGCCCAGGCAGGAGAAGCUGCUCAUGUGGAAGCCUGGAGAAGAGAGAAGCCAAGGCAGAUGGGGGAGGCAGCAGGGCUCUAGGGAGCUGGAGGAGUGCACAAAGGCGAGGCUGAUUUCCAGAGGCUGGGAGCUUUGGCAGAAGUGAGGGUGUGAGGGGGGAUGAGGAGGUGGACUGUGGUUGGCAGUGGGAGGUGGAGUGAGCUGAGAUCUCACCCCUCUACUCUAGCCUGGGUGACACAGCGAGACUGUCUCAAAAAAAAAAAAAAAGGAAAAGAAAGAAAAGAAAAAUUAAAUAAAAAGUUUUAAGACUUGCAGCUACAUGCCUGGCUCCCAGCAAGUGUCAGGGAAGUCAGGGGAGACUUCUGUGCCCGGGGACAGGAGGCGGGGCUUCCCAGAGAGCCUGAGAGAGAAAGGCCAGAAAUGGCCACUCCGGAGUCCCAGGGGGCCUUUCCACCUUGGCACUGGGCAGAAACCUAAAACUGCAGGCGGCUGAGAGAGCCUGGAGAUGCCUCCAGAAUACAGUUCUGCUCACUCUGGACUCAGAAAAGUCUGAAUUGAUUUUAUUUUUUAUUAUUUUCCUUUUUAUUGAUGGGGUCUCAACUAUGUUGCCCAGGCUGGUCUCCUGGACUCAAGGGAUCCGCCUGCCUCAGCCUCCCAAAGGGCUGAAAUGAUAGGCAUGGGCUACGACGCCCAGCCGAGAAAGGCCUGAAUUGAAACCCCAGCCCUGCCCUGUCCAGCUGUGUGACUUGAGCACUUGUACUUACCUGAGUCUCCAUACCCUCAUCUGUAAAGGGGGAGAGAGUGGGGUUAAGCUGGUAUCAACGAUGAAAAUAUAUAUAUAUUUUGAGAUGGA